UACGUAGGGUGCGAGCGUUAAUCGGAAUUACUGGGCGUAAAGCGUGCGCAGGCGGUCUGUUUAGACCGAUGUGAAAUCCCCGGGCUUAACCUGGGAACUGCAUUGGUGACUGGCAGGCUUUGAGUGUGGCAGAGGGAGGUAGAAUUCCACGUGUAGCAGUGAAAUGCGUAGAGAUGUGGAGGAAUACCGAUGGCGAAGGCAGCCUCCUGGGCCAACACUGACGCUCAUGCACGAAAGCGUGGGGAGCAAACAGG
rnacentral:rRNA from 1 species